rnacentral:rRNA from 1 species
GACGAACGCUGGCGGCGCGCUUAACACAUGCAAGUCGAACGGAAAGGCCUGCUUUCCCUUGUGGAUUGCGGGUACUCGAGUGGCGAACGGGUGAGUAACACGUGAGUGAUCUGCCCCCAACUUGGGUAUAAGCCUGGGAAACUGGGUCUAAUUCCCGAUAGGACUGCAGGGUGGUGCCUGUGGUGGAAAACGAUUUUCUAGUGGUUGGGGAUGAGCUCGCGGCCUAUCAGCUUGUUGGUGGGGUAAUGGCCUACCAAGGCGGCGACGAGUAGCCGGCCUGAGAGGGUGGACGGCCACAUUGGGACUGAGAUACGGCCCAGACUCCUACGGGAGGCAGCAGUGGGGAAUAUUGCACAAUGGGCGGAAGCCUGAUGCAGCGACGCCGCGUGGGGGAUGACGGCCUUCGGGUUGUAAACUCCUUUCGACCGCGAGGAAGCCACCUGGUUGGAAGGGUGGUGACGGUAGUGGUAGAAGAAGCACCGGCUAACUACGUG